GCAUUUGUGACAAAUGCUUAUUGGCUUAUACAAAUGUACAUUUAUUUUUUUGUCUGUUAUUCUACUUCCUAUUCCAUGAAACAUUUUGAAAUGGCAGAAAUGGGUAGACAUUAUUUGAUAUUUUAAUUGAUAAAAUAUGAUCAGAAAUGUAAAGAAGGGCACGCAUCAUGCAUGAUAAUGUCAAUAAUUGAUUGAAAUUAUUUGAAUUCAUAAACAAAAUUCCAUAUAUCAUGAAUUACUAUGAAAUUAUGUACUUUUAAAUUUUAGCUUAAAGUUGUUUGAUCCUAAAAUAAAAUGAAUUAUAAUU
rnacentral:sRNA from 1 species